rnacentral:rRNA from 1 species
GAUGAACGCUGGCGGCGUGCCUAAUACAUGCAAGUCGAGCGAACAGACGAGGAGCUUGCUCCUCUGACGUUAGCGGCGGACGGGUGAGUAACACGUGGAUAACCUACCUAUAAGACUGGGAUAACUUCGGGAAACCGGAGCUAAUACCGGAUAAUAUAUUGAACCGCAUGGUUCAAUAGUGAAAGACGGUUUUGCUGUCACUUAUAGAUGGAUCCGCGCCGCAUUAGCUAGUUGGUAAGGUAACGGCUUACCAAGGCAACGAUGCGUAGCCGACCUGAGAGGGUGAUCGGCCACACUGGAACGGGGACACGGACCAGACUCCUACGGGAGGCAGCAGUAGGGAAUCUUCCGCAAUGGGCGAAAGCUUGACGGAGCAACGCCGCGUGAGUGAUGAAGGUCUUCGGAUCGUAAAACUCUGUUAUUAGGGAAGAACAAAUGUGUAAGUAACUAUGCACGUCUUGACGGUACCUAAUCAGAAAGCCACGGCUAACUACGUG